AGUGAACGCUGGCGGUAGGCCUAACACAUGCAAGUCGAACGGCAGCACAGUAAGAGCUUGCUCUUACGGGUGGCGAGUGGCGGACGGGUGAGGAAUACAUCGGAAUCUACUUUUUCGUGGGGGAUAACGUAGGGAAACUUACGCUAAUACCGCAUACGACCUACGGGUGAAAGCAGGGGAUCUUCGGACCUUGCGCGAUUGAAUGAGCCGAUGUCGGAUUAGCUAGUUGGCGGGGUAAAGGCCCACCAAGGCGACGAUCCGUAGCUGGUCUGAGAGGAUGAUAAGCAAAACUGGAACUGAGACACGGUCCAGAAUCCUACGGGAGGCAGCAGUGGGGAAUAUUGGACAAUGGGCGCAAGCCUGAUCCAGCCAUACCGCGUGGGUGAAGAAGGCCUUCGGGUUGUAAAGCCCUUUUGUUGGGAAAGAAAAGCAGCAGGUUAAUACCCCGCUGUUCUGACGGUACCCAAAGAAUAAGCACCGGCUAACUUCGUG
rnacentral:rRNA from 1 species